UACGUAGGGUGCAAGCGUUGUCCGGAAUUAUUGGGCGUAAAGAGCUCGUAGGCGGUUUGUCGCGUCUGCCGUGAAAGUCCGGGGCUCAACUCCGGAUCUGCGGUGGGUACGGGCAGACUAGAGUGAUGUAGGGGAGACUGGAAUUCCUGGUGUAGCGGUGAAAUGCGCAGAUAUCAGGAGGAACACCGGUGGCGAAGGCGGUUCUCUGGGCCUGUACUGACGCUGAGGAACGAAAGCGUGGGGAGCGAACAGG
rnacentral:rRNA from 1 species